GUAAGGUUAAGGAUUCGCUACUUUAGAAAACAUUUUCUUUUUAUGUCUCGGAGGCCGCCUUCCUCUGUAAAGCCAGGCUUGGCGAUGUGACAGCUUAUUAGGGGCAGCAUCCCAGUUUCCCUGGUGACAGAGUCUAAGUUAGUUCUGGGCUGUUCCUCUGACCUAUUGGGAAUGCCAUAACUCUAGACCCUGUGUUGGGAGAGAUCUGAGGAGCCACUUGUUAGUUUUGGAUAGUACAAUAUUGAACUUGGUUCUCAAAGUGUAGUCUGGGGAACUUGGGGGUCCCUAAGACCCUUCCAGUGGUACAUGAAGUCAGAAUUAUUUUCAUCGUAACAUUAAUGCAGCAUUUGCGUUUUUCACUCUCAUUCUCUCUCAGGAUACAGUGGAGUUUUCCAGAGCUGAAUGAUGUGUGCUGACAUCAUCACUCUUGGCUGAUGAAAUGUGUGCUUCUGUGUUCUUGUGUUUUCUAGAAUUUUUAAGGUAGUGCUUUAAGGUAUAAAUGUGAAAGUUUUCAAUGAUGAACACGAUUUGUUCUUAGUACUUCUACUGUGCUCUUAUUAGCUUGCUUUAGUUAUACCUGCUAUAAUCUCUGUAAACCUCGUUAUUGUCCAAUAAAUAGUUAUUUUGAAAUCCUGGCAUUUUCCUGGCACCUUCGAGGAAACACAAUAAGAAGAUGAAUUGUUGGCUUAAAAAAGGGAGAUUAGAAGACUUGCUUUCUCAACACAUAGCUGCAGCCUCUGUUUACUGACAUGGACAAGUGAAAGGGAGAAAUCUGUUCCAGAGAAACUGGGCAAAACUGUAAAUAAGAAAUGGAAAAAAAUGAA